rnacentral:rRNA from 1 species
AGUCAAUAGAUACCCGGGUAGUCCACGCCCUAAACGAUGCACACUAGAUUCGGGAGACUCUGAUGUCGUCCGGAUCGAAAGCAAAAGUGUUAAGUGUGCCGCCUGGGGAGUACGGCCGCAAGGCUAAAACUCAAAGGAAUUGACGGGGGCUCACACAAGCGGUGGAGCAUGUGGCUUAAUUCGAAGCAACGCGAAGAACCUUACCCGGGUUUGACAUGCUAGGAUGUCUUACGGUAAUGCGUGGAGACUACCCGCAAGGGUGAAACUAGCACAGGUGUUGCAUGGCUGUCGUCAGCUCGUGCUGUGAAGUGUCGGGUUAAGUCCUAUAACGAGCGAAACCCCUGUCGUCAGUUGCCAUCAGGUCAUGCUGGGGACUCUGGCGAGACUGCCGGCGUUAAGCCGGAGGAAGGUGGGGAUGACGUCAAGUCAUCAUGGCCUUUAUGUCCGGGGAUGCACACGUGCUACAAUGGUGCGGUACAGAGCGACGCGAAGCCGCGAGGCGGAGCAAAUCGCAAAAAACGCA